rnacentral:rRNA from 1 species
GACGAACGCUGGCGGCGUGCUUAACACAUGCAAGUCGAACGGAAAGGCCCUGCUUUUGUGGGGUGCUCGAGUGGCGAACGGGUGAGUAACACGUGAGUAACCUGCCCUUGACUUUGGGAUAACUUCAGGAAACUGGGGCUAAUACCGGAUAGGAGCUCCUGCUGCAUGGUGGGGGUUGGAAAGUUUCGGCGGUUGGGGAUGGACUCGCGGCUUAUCAGCUUGUUGGUGGGGUAGUGGCUUGCCAAGGCUUUGACGGGUAGCCGGCCUGAGAGGGUGACCGGCCACAUUGGGACUGAGAUACGGCCCAGACUCCUACGGGACGCAGCAGUGGGGAAUAUUGCACAAUGGGCGGAAGCCUGAUGCAGCAACGCCGCGUGCGGGAUGACGGCCUUCGGGUUGUAAACCGCUUUCGCCUGUGACGAAGCGUGAGUGACGGUAAUGGGUAAAGAAGCACCGGCUAACUACGU